GAUGAGCGCUGGCGGCGUGCCUAAUACAUGCAAGUCGAGCGAACGGACGAGAAGCUUGCUUCUCUGAUGUUAGCGGCGGACGGGUGAGUAACACGUGGAUAACCUACCUAUAAGACUGGGAUAACUUCGGGAAACCGGAGCUAAUACCGGAUAAUAUUUUGAACCGCAUGGUUCAAAAGUGAAAGACGGUCUUGCUGUCACUUAUAGAUGGAUCCGCGCUGCAUUAGCUAGUUGGUAAGGUAACGGCUUACCAAGGCAACGAUGCAUAGCAGACCUGAGAGGGUGAUCGGCCACACUGGAACUGAGACACGGUCCAGACUCCUACGGGAGGCAGCAGUAGGGAAUCUUCCGCAAUGGGCGAAAGCCUGACGGAGCAACGCCGCGUGAGUGAUGAAGGUCUUCGGAUCGUAAAACUCUGUUAUUAGGGAAGAACAUAUGUGUAAGUAACUGUGCACAUCUUGACGGUACCUAAUCAGAAAGCCACGGCUAACUACGUG
rnacentral:rRNA from 1 species